GAAAGGAGAGAUGAGAUCAUUAUGGGCAGAACUUAGAACCUCUGGAUGAAUAGAGACGAGGUAAAAUUCUGGCACCUAUCCACAGCCUGAACCUUGGAGAGCACCUCCCUUUCAUAUGACUUCUGCAAAGGGCAUGUUUCAGCUCACAGGGACAAAGAGUCACUGCACCAGAGAACCAGAAAGAGUGUUUCAGGAAACUGCCACAACUUUGUAGAGCACAGUUUGAAAGCUACUGCUGAAGAAAUAUGCCAUCUUGAAGGCUUUUUAAACACGGGAUUUGCAAGAUAGGGUUCGCAUUUUAGAAACAUUAUUCUGCUUGCUACACUACUGAGUUUGGAUGAGGGAGACUUGAAGGCAAGGGAGCUCCGUUAUGAAAUAACUACACUUUUCUUAUAGAAGAAGACUAUAAUAGACUGUAUCAAAAAUGUCUACGUUCCAUAGCAUUGGUGGAACCAUGCAUUACGUCUGAGGACAAGGACGGGAACCUUCUGUGGCGUGCUGUCAACAGCUUUAAAUAGGCAUUGAGUUUGAAGAUAGAGCACAUGAAGGGCAUGUUACAGCAGAGCUGAAGGGAGAACAGUUGAUGGGGCUUGGUGAUCAACUGAUUUGGAGAGUAAAGCAAUGAGAAGAAUGACAUUCAUGAUUUGUCCUUGGCACUUCUUUCUAAGGUUAGGGAUCAGAAAGAAACAUAAUUGAGUUCCUGCCAAAUUGAAUAUGCAGAAAGGGCACUGAUAGGGGGAUCAAUUCCUUAUUUCUACCAUGAGACAGGCAAGAUAAAGAAGAGUUGAUAAUUUCUGCACCCAUCUUACUUCUUGCCCACCACAGAGCAGUUCACCCAGUGGCCUGGUUGGAUGUUAGCCAUUGGAAGGGCAAGAAAUCCAACAAUCGACUGUAGAAGAAUUCCAGAGAAUCAGUCUGGAUCUCUUUCACACAGACAAAGUCUUGUUCCAGCUAAUCUUAGGCUCCUAUGCGAAAGGAAAGAUGCUGGGAGGCCAGCAAGGUGGCUCACACCCAUAACCCCAGCACUUUGGGGGGCCAAGGUGGGCAGAUCCCUUGAGCCCAGGAAUUCAAAACCAGCCCAGGCAACAUAGUAAUAACCCCAAUCUCUUCAAAAAAUUAAGAAAAAUAAUUAGCCAGAUGUGUUGGUGCAUGCCUUAGUCCUAACUACUCUGCAAGCUGCGCUGAGAGGAUCACUUGAGCCCAGGAGGUCAAGGUUGCAAAGAGCCAUGAUCCUGUGCCUAGGCAACAGAACGAAAAAGAUGUGAGAAAUACUCAAAGUCUUGGUCUUUACCCAGAAGAAUCAGAGCAAGGAAAAGAAAGAUCUCUUUCCCCAGUUCGACCUCCAUCUUCCUAAAUCUGGACAAAGGGAUCCUAAACCACAGCGUCCUACAGUGAGUCAAAACGCCCAUGCACUGAUUCUCAUCUCACUGGAGUUAACUAGUUAACUGACUAAAAGGUUGCUACCUUCGAGGCCAGCCAUGGUGGCUCACGUCUGUAAUCCCAGCACUUUGGGAGGCUGAGGCGGCAGGAUCACCCGAGGUCGGGAGUUCAAGACCAGCCUGACCAACAUGGAGAAACCCCAUCUCUACUAAAAAUACAAAAAUUAGCUAGGCAUGGUGGCGCAUGCCUGUAAUCCCAGCUACUUGGGAGGCUGAGGCAGGAGAAUUGCUUGAACCCGGGAGGCAGAGAUUAUGGUGAGCCGAGAUCACGCCAUUGCACUUCAGCCUGGGCAACAAGAACAAAACUCCAUUUCAAAAAAGAAAAGAAAAGAAAAAAGGUUGCUACCUAUGUAGACACCAUUGCAUACGCGAAUGUGGAAGUAGAGACAGAGAACUUUCAGGCUCUACUGAAUGAUGCUUUACUGUACCUCGAAUUCAAAUGAUGCUCGAUGUAUGUGAUAUCUGCGAUGCAUACAAAGACAGGGUCCCUUUGGACACAGCCCACCAGGUCUGCCAUGGACAAGCUGACCACCUGCAUAUUCACUUUCUCCUCUCUGAAUUUAAUUUCUUCAUUUAUAACAAAGUGAAGUAGUGAAGAUUGACAAAAUAAAAUAAAGGAAGCAUAUCAUCGAGUUUAUGUCACAAAAACACCAUGGGAGACGAUGAUGUCUUCUCCUUUUUGUUAUCUUGAUAAAGCUUCAUACAUGAUGAUAAAAUGGAAAUUUCAGUUGGGGAACUAAUAAAUCGACAGAUGUCUUACUCCACAACGAGGUGCAAGAUCUUGAGGCUGGAUUUAGAAAGAGGAAGAGAAGACCAAUUGCACAGCUCAUCACCCCUCCACCCGUCUGAUGAUAUGGAAGGUUUGAAGGAAGCCAGAGCUGGAGCAAGAUUUUCCUCCGAUGAGUUUUGAUGAACUACAAAGAAUGAAGAUGCUCUCCUUUGUCAUCCCCAGUCAAAGAAAAGGCACUUUAAAGAAAUCACUCACGAGCCAGAUAUUGCGGUUGUAUUUUGGUGGACACAGUGAAGUCACGUCUGGCUCGCUCCGCAAAUACUAGGAGGGUGAGAAGUGGGAGGCAGCCGUGGGACCGCUGAGAGGAGGAGGCUGACCUUUGAGGAAGCACGUGGGAUUUUUCCCCGCGGAACAGACGUGAGGCAUGAACACGGGAGCAAAAGUGUGCUAGAGUAACUCCCGUCAAAGAGAGACCCUUACUAGGGCAAGAAGACCUUGAUCAAAGCAUACCCAGAUGCCGAGGUUCUGAGGAAGGAAAUAAGUGACCACCAGGCAUGGUGCUCUGAUUAUUAAGCUAGUUUCUCAGCUCCAAACUCAACCUUCACUGCUUAGCCUUGUGACGGUGGGAAGGCUGGGAGAGGCCAAACCACCUUUCCCCUUUGCCAGGGCUCCCUGAUCAGUUCUGCCCAUGUGCUACUAAGGGAAACGGUAAAGCUGGAGGAGGGAAAGGGGACACCACCCUUCUCUUUGCGCACUGCUUAUGCCAGCAGCAUCCGAGCAAUACCGCUUGCCCUGUAGUGCUUCUUGAGUCGGAUUUCAGUUCAGUGUCUGGGUUUUUGAACAUUUCUAUAACCAUUCUCCCUCCUCAAUAGCACUCGCACAUCAGAAGCUGAGUCCCAGCUCCCUGACUUCUCCAGAUCCUAGAACUAUCAGCACCAGCAGCAGCACACAUUCCAUUCCUGUAGGGCUUGGCUCUGUGAGGCUCCUCUCAGCUCCCAGAUUCUCCCAACACAACUUCUUUCCUUUGUUCCCCCAGACUUCGAGCAGGUCAUUUCUUGCUAUGCCUGUCUAACCCCUUCCCUAAAUUCAAUUCUCUCUGUUAAGAUAACCAGUAUGUUUCUGCUUUCCGGUCUGGAUUCUGAUUGAUAUACAAAAGCUGCAUUCCCACAUCAAGGGAACUGCGAGUGUUCACCCUCCGUGGUAAGGGGAGACUGGGAGACCCCACAAAAGCAUCCCAAGAGAGGAAGAGUCCCUUUACACACCUGCUGCCCCGUGUGUGGAUGCCCACUGAGCACGGAAGUUGUCAAGUAAGAACUCUCAACUCCCUAGUGUUCCAAAUCCCAGUUCUGGUGGAGUCAGGUAUUACAGUCAUAGCAGAGCAGAGGACCUUAGCAGCCCUAGGCAGAGAGGGGCUGAAGAAGCCAACCAAGGCUUCAGGUGUAGUUGGAGAAAGAAGUCUCAGCUUCAAUCAAGUUUUCAGGUUGGAUUAAUACAUGGGAAUGAACUGUUACUUAUCUGCUUAUAUUGUUUUUGUGAUAUCAAGUAACCUGAUUUUUUACAUGUCCAAAAAAACAACAACAAAAAAGUAUUGAAGCCUACCUUAGAUUUCAUCUAGGGACAAAAGGAAGAAGUAGCCCACCAAGCAGGUUUAAAGCGAGUGUCGGACACAAAAAUGACAUGCCCCAUAUUGCAGUCUAGAAGGAACAACACGGUGAAUUGUCUACUGCAGUGGUGAUCAGAGAAGGGCUCAUAACAAUGAGAUGACAUCUGAGCAGUGCCUUGAAAGAAGUGAAGGAAUUAGUGAACAGCUGAGCGGAGUGGGGGGUCAUUCUCUACUGGAGAAAGAUAAGUAUGAAUGGUUCAAGGUGAGCUUGGAGAAGUGAUACAGGUUCAGAUGACUUAAGCCCUCGUAGCUCCUUGAAGGAUUUGAGAUGGGGGCCAUUCACGGUCUUCACACUCAUUGCUGAACGAAGUACAAGAUUGAAAACUGAGCAGGCUCUUUUUUACCACCUCAGCUUAGGAGUGUGCAGUGGAUGUGGGGGUGUGUUGCUCAUCACUCCCCCUGAGGUCUGAGAGCAGCCCACUUCUAAUGAUGGCUGACAUGGGAGGACAAAGACACAGCUCAUGCCUCCAUCUGGAACAAUUCUGAGAUGCGAUUUCACCUCCAGGGCCCUUGUGGGAUCAGCUAAGGCUCUGCUGGAAAUGAAUCACAGUUCAGUUCAAGUCUUCCCUCUGCCCAGAUCUCCACCUCUAACUCCCCUACAGAGUAGUCACAUUCUCCCAUGUUGGUGAAAGUGCGAUGAGAAAUGCAGUCUGUGUGCCUGGAAGAGAAACCCCACUGAUACCAGAAUAGAGAGAUGAUUAUUACUCUUAUUGUGCAGAUGAGAAAACUGAUGUCUAGAGAGAAUGAAUAAAUCCCAUCUUUCACAGCUGUGGAAAGGAAAACCCCCAAAUUUAAGUGACGUCCUUGUUCCAUAUAGCACCCUUCCUUACUGGAACCCAGCGACUCUCAGUUCUAUUUGCAACGGAGAACCACCACACUUCACUCUGUCUCGAUUACUACAUGGUGAAUUGAAGUUCCCGUAGAGAGGGAGUUGAGCUGAUACUGAGGAGCUUCUCUUCACAGCCAAGAAGGAUGACACAACGUAGAGCAUGGAGUGUGGAUGAGAAGUCCCCACAAGUUCCCCAGAAGGCUAUUUUUCUCUGGAGCAGAUAGUCUGAGUGUAGAUUGGUAUAAUCCAUUUGGAAAACAUUUUGGUAAUAUGAAGAAAAAGACAUAUAAAACAGCAUCCGGGCCUCUAAAGAGAAGUCAUGGGACAAACUACCUGCCCAGGGCUCACUGUUGAGGCAAAGGGAGACGGAGUUUCACUGUGUCAGCCAGGAUGGCUUCGAUCUCCUAACUUCCUGGUCCGCCCCCCUCAGCCUCCCAAAGUGUUGGGAUUACAGGCGUGAGCCACCGUGCCAGGCCGAUCUUUCUUUUCUCUACAGGAAUACCCCCGGGAAUAAAAUGCAAAUUUGCGUGGGUAUUGCAAGGUCCUUAGAAGGCCUGAUCUUGGGUACUGAGAUGUGAGAUGGACUUCACGGAGAGCUGGCUGCAUCACGAGCCCCAAAGGGUAAGAAUCAGGCCUGGGACAGAGCACUCACACACAUACCGUGUGCUCACAGCUAAAACACCCAUAACCAUCAUCUUCGGUGAGGAGAAAAGACAGAUAUUUUUAAAAAAUUUGUGUGAUGAGAACUUAUUUAUUCAAAUAUUGUUUUUUUCUUAUUUUCAAUCUUCAUUUUUUCCCUAAAUACCCAUCACUGUAUACAUCUACUUCUUGGAAUUUGCAAGGGAACCAGUCAACAGAUUUUUCAAGCCUUAUAAGUUUAUCUGCCUGAGAAGUUCACCAGCUACAUAACAUCCUGGACUCUGGAGCCCAAGAGAUGUGUAGUUUCCAUUUUGGAGCCAUUUUCUUUAAUAAAUAAGUAGUGAGGCUGCCAUUCUUGUCAAAGUUGAGGACCACAACCCUACUCAUGAAACUGAAAGAUUGUUUGUUAUGAGGAGUUCUGUUUGAGCCAUACAAGCAAUAUAUCCUUUUUAAAGAAAUGUAUCCGGAAUCUUAGGUGUUCAUUGCUCCAAGCCAUGUGCAGAAUAAAAAGAAAACAAAAAACAAAAAACAAGAAGUGUGAAUAUUUUUGACCAAUACAGUGAUUACACUCCAUUCCCCAAAAGAUUGCCUACAAAUGUGUCUAAGCUAGAAAUCAUCUACAGUCAAUACUACGGGGUGGAUCAAUGGUGAUUUCAUCAGCACCAGCCCAGCUGCUCCAUGACAGAGAGGCCUGCAUGCCGCCCUCCAUCUUCCACCUGUCCACGGCUGACACACGGUGGGAAAGGGUUUUGCUGACAUUGGUGAUCUGAGCUGAAAAAGUGAAGCCACCUUUUGGCAUAUAAUUCAUAUUGGUUUUUCAAUCAUUUGC
rnacentral:lncRNA from 1 species